rnacentral:misc_RNA from 1 species
GAUGAAGAACGUAGCGAAAUGCGAUAAGUAAUGUGAAUUGCAGAAUUCAGUGAAUCAUCGAAUCUUUGAACGCACAUUACGCCCGCCAGCAUUCUGGCGGGCAUGCCUGUUCGAGCGUCAUUUCAACCCUCGAGCCCCCCCGGGGGCCUCGGUGUUGGGGGACGGCACACCAGCCGCCCCCGAAAUGCAGUGGCGACCCCGCCGCAGCCUCCCCUGCGUAGUAGCACACACCUCGCACCGGAGCGCGGAGGCGGUCACGCCGUAAAACGCCCAACUUUCUUAGAGUUGACCUCGGAUCAGGUAGGAAUACCCGCUGAACUUAAGCAUAUCAAUAAGCGGAGGA